rnacentral:lncRNA from 1 species
UGGUUUUGGACAGAGGACCAUAAAGAGGUAAGAACCUCUUCUUCUCAUUACACUUAGUUCCAUUUGUUUUCUUAUUAACAACAAUAGUGGUUGUUAAUGUCAUUGUAGUGUUGUUUGUUUAAAGUUAUUAAAAUGGCAUACAUGUUUUGUAUUGUGUUGAGAAGUUAUGCAACCCAUGUUGGUUAAUGAGUGGAUUAUACUUUGGAUUUUAUGAUUUAUUUUUUCUAAUGGUUUUGUGCUAUGCAUGAUAUUAGUCUUUACAUUUAUUAAUUUGUGGUAUUUGUUAUUAUCACAAAAGUAUGCUUUAGACAGUUAAUAUUGAGAGGUAUGAAAAAUGAAUUCAAAUUUUAUUAAGUUUGUUCAAAUACCAUUCUUGAACAUUCUUAAAUAUUGAUGACCAGUAAUCAUUUUUCUUAUGUAGAUCCACUCUUUUUAAUGGCUUAUUUAGUUAAGAUUGUGAAUUUCAGCUUUUGGGCAAGAUUUCUUGUAAUUGUGUUGUCGAAAAUUGUUUGUCUUUGGUCUCUUAAGUAUAUUUUUAUAUUCAAAUUUUCUUGGUUUUGGCUUCUUCUUGAUCAUUGGAAUUUCCUUAUUUUGUUUCUUUUGUAAAGGAAGAUGAUUGAUGAGUUUGAGAAGAUCAAGCAACAAUUGGUAUCGUUUGGGAAUUCCACGAUAUUAGAUCACAGUCCCUAUCCCACAGGUGUUAAAGAUCAUGACUACCAAACUCAGAAUUACAAAAGGCAUAGUAUACAUGCAUAUUUUUUUUAGUCGAAACCCAAUCUUAGAGUGGGGAAAUAAUUAUUGUAGAACUUGGGUUUACCAAGGGCAAGAAUAUAUGGAACUUGGCCUCCAGUCUUUGAAUGGAGAGUUCUUCACUCGUUUAUGUACACUAAUUUUGGAUAUGUUAUGUGUACUUGAAUAACUAGUAUGCUCGUGUACUUUUGAAUGAGAGAAACUUUUAUUCAUGUC